AAUGAACGCUGGCGGCAUGCCUAACACAUGCAAGUCGAACGACAGCACAGGAAGAGCUUGCUCCUGCGGGUGGCGAGUGGCGGACGGGUGACGAAUACAUCGGAUACCUCUUUUACGGGGGUGAUAACGGAGGGAAACUUCUGCUAACACCGAAUAUGUCGUACGGGUUAGAGCAAGCGUUCUACUGGCUUUUCGCGAUAGUAAGAGCCUACGUCGGAUUAGCUAGGUUGCUGGGUAAAGGCACAGCUAGGCGACGAUGCGUAGCAGGUCUGAGAGGAUGAUCAGCCACACUGGAACUGAGAAACGGUCCAGACUCCUACGGGAGGCAGCAGUGGGGAAUCUUGCGCGAUGGGCGAAAGCCUGAUCGAGCAAUACCGCGUGAGUGAUGAAGGACUUCGGGUUGUAAAGCUCUGUUGUUCGGAAAGAAAAGAAGCGGGUUUAACCGCGAAUAUUAUGACGGUACCCAAAGAAUAAGCACCGGCUAACUUCGUG
rnacentral:rRNA from 1 species